GGUGACGGUCGCCCGGCGGCUCCGGGUCGCCGCUCCGCUUUCGCCCUCGGGGCCGCGCAGGCCGGCCGUCCCCCGGGCACGUGGCCCCGGCUCGUCGGGAAGCGGCGGAGCCCCGCGGUUCCCCGGCGGAAGGCGAGCGCCGUAGGUAGCCAAUACCCUUGGCUGUGUGAAUUUUGGCUGAGAUGGUGAGGAGUGCUGCCACCCAAGUAUGAUUCCACCGCCAACUCCAUCGAUGUUUCACGCUGAGAAUGGGUAAAUGUUUGCAGUAUAGCAAUAAUUCAAGGAAUAUAAAUUGAUGAAGAUAAAGGGUCACAAAGAAGUUGAGUAUGCUGCAAAUUGUCUGUUCAUCUGUGUCCUGCACUGCCUGGAUUACUUCAUACUGUUUACACAGCAAAACAAACUAUAUAACAUCCCAGGGGCUCAAUGCUGCUUCCACAGAAUACCGGAACAAGUUUACCGUAAGUGUACGCAUGUACGUUACUGAUGAUAUGCUGCAUGGGAACUGCUGAAUCACGGCCUGAACCUCUGAUUGACCACCUGAGGCGAGCAAAGAGUCAGCCCUGGGAGCACAAGUAGAGCCUGGCUCCACCUUUCCCAGACCCUAUUUAAGAGCUGAAGGCCACUGCAGAAGGAUCUCUUUUGGAAAUUGCUUCUCUUGGAGUCUUCUCAGUGAGCCCAGAAGAAAGGUAAGCUUUCCAUCCAUUCUUCUUUAGUGUGAUAAUCUGUUUAGCCUAACUUUC
rnacentral:lncRNA from 1 species